CCCUUAGAUGUCCUGGGCCGCACGCGCGUUACACUGAUGCAUUCAACGAGCUUAUAACCUUGGCCGAGAGGCCUGGGCAAUCUUGUUAACGUGCAUCGUGAUAGGGAUAGAUUAUUGAAAUUAUUAAUCUUGAACGAGGAAUUCCUAGUAAACGCAGAUCAUCAAUCUGCAUUGAUUACGUCCCUGCCCUUUGUACACACCGCCCGUCGCACCUACCGAUUGGAUGGUCCGGUGAAGCCUCGGGAUUGUGGUUCUUGCCGCUUUAUUGUGGCGUGACCGCGAGAACUUGUCUAAACCUUAUCGUCUAGAGGAAGGUGAAGUCGUAACA
rnacentral:rRNA from 1 species